ACCAAAUGCUUCCAAAUGUCAAUUUAUAUUAAGCUCGCCCCAUUCCUCUGUCAUUUGUCGCGCGCCGCAAGCACUCAAUUGAAAAGCAGUGUUGAUUUGUGUUGAUAUAUAUAGAUUAUACCUAAUCUAUAUAAAUCAACACUGCUUUUCAAUUGAGUGCUUGCGGCGCGCGACAAAUGACAGAGGAAUGGGGCGAGCUUAAUAUAAAUUGACAUUUGGAAGCAUUUG